AGAGUUUGAUCCUGGCUCAGAUUGAACGCUGGCGGCAGGCCUAACACAUGCAAGUCGAACGGUAGCACAGAGAGCUUGCUCUCGGGUGACGAGUGGCGGACGGGUGAGUAAUGUCUGGGAAACUGCCUGAUGGAGGGGGAUAACUACUGGAAACGGUAGCUAAUACCGCAUAACGUCGCAAGACCAAAGAGGGGGACCUUCGGGCCUCUUGCCAUCAGAUGUGCCCAGAUGGGAUUAGCUAGUAGGUGGGGUAACGGCUCACCUAGGCGACGAUCCCUAGCUGGUCUGAGAGGAUGACCAGCCACACUGGAACUGAGACACGGUCCAGACUCCUACGGGAGGCAGCAGUGGGGAAUAUUGCACAAUGGGCGCAAGCCUGAUGCAGCCAUGCCGCGUGUAUGAAGAAGGCCUUCGGGUUGUAAAGUACUUUCAGCGGGGAGGAAGGUGUUGUGGUUAAUAACCGCAGCAAUUGACGUUACCCGCAGAAGAAGCACCGGCUAACUCCGUGCCAGCAGCCGCGGUAAUACGGAGGGUGCAAGCGUUAAUCGGAAUUACUGGGCGUAAAGCGCACGCAGGCGGUCUGUCAAGUCGGAUGUGAAAUCCCCGGGCUCAACCUGGGAACUGCAUUCGAAACUGGCAGGCUAGAGUCUUGUAGAGGGGGGUAGAAUUCCAGGUGUAGCGGUGAAAUGCGUAGAGAUCUGGAGGAAUACCGGUGGCGAAGGCGGCCCCCUGGACAAAGACUGACGCUCAGGUGCGAAAGCGUGGGGAGCAAACAGGAUUAGAUACCCUGGUAGUCCACGCCGUAUACGAUUUCGACUUGGAGGUUGUGCCCUUGAGGCGUGGCUUCCGGAGCUACGCGUUAAGUCGACCGCCUGGGGAUACGCCGCAAGGUUAAACUCAAAUGAAUUGACGGGGGCCCGCACAAGCGGUGGAGCAUGUGUUUAAUUCGAUGCAACUCGAAGACCCUUACCCUACUCUUGAUCAUCCAGAGAACUUUCACGAGAUGGAUUGGUGCCUUCGGGAACUCUGAGACAGGUGCUGCAUGGCUGUCGUCAGCUCGUGUUGUGAAAUGUUGGGUUAAGUCCCGCAACGAGCGCAACCCUUAUCCUUUGUUGCCAGCGGUCCGGCCGGGAACUCAAAGGAGACUGCCAGUGAUAAACUGGAGGAAGGUGGGGAUGACGUCAAGUCAUCAUGGCCCUUACGAGUAGGGCUACACACGUGCUACAAUGGCGCAUACAAAGAGAAGCGAACUCGCGAGAGCAAGCGGACCUCAUAAAGUGCGUCGUAGUCCGGAUUGGAGUCUGCAACUCGACUCCAUGAAGUCGGAAUCGCUAGUAAUCGUAGAUCAGAAUGCUACGGUGAAUACGUUCCCGGGCCUUGUACACACCGCCCGUCACACCAUGGGAGUGGGUUGCAAAAGAAGUAGGUAGCUUAACCUUCGGGAGGGCGCUUACCACUUUGUGAUUCAUGACUGGGGUGAAGUCGUAACAAGGUAGCCGUA
rnacentral:rRNA from 1 species